UACGUAGGGUGCAAGCGUUGUCCGGAAUUAUUGGGCGUAAAGAGCUCGUAGGCGGUCUGUCGCGUCUGCUGUGAAAACCUGGGGCUUAACCCCGGGCCUGCAGUGGGUACGGGCAGACUAGAGUGUGGUAGGGGAGACUGGAAUUCCUGGUGUAGCGGUGAAAUGCGCAGAUAUCAGGAGGAACACCGGUGGCGAAGGCGGGUCUCUGGGCCAUAACUGACGCUGAGGAGCGAAGGCGUGGGGAGCGAACAGG
rnacentral:rRNA from 1 species